UGUCGCAGAGUAGCUGUUGACAUUACAGUUGCGCAGGAACUUUGUUGACUCUAGAGAACCUCUGGCAAAUCCAUAUCAACUUCCGAUGCUAGUUUCUACACCUACCAUGGUGACCAUGGGUAAUGGGGAAUCAGGGUUCCAUUCCGUACAGGGACCCUGACAAAUGGCUACCACAUGCAAGGAAGGCAGCAGGCAUGCGAAUGUCCCACUCCCGACGCAGGAAGGUAGUGACGACA